UUCAUUGACAGUUCAUUGGUUCCAACAUAUAUUUUUUGUUUUUCUAAUUACAACAAAAAUGUAUGAAGAAGUAAAAGCAUUUUUAGAGUUUAUUGAUAAUAUUGGAGAAGAAAAUCGCCCGGGAAGUAUACAAAAGCGAUAUAUUCAAGAUAAAAAUAUAAUCUAAAAUACAAUGGAGUAUUACAAUAUUGAAGUUCAUCAGCGAAUCAGCGCAUUAACUUAAACAAUAAAGGUUUUAUGCUACUUAUAGGAAUAUAACCAGUUUUUAUGAGGACCCCGCUUUCCAAAAAUGUACAGGUACUAGAAGAGAAAUUAUGUGUAUUAUUGUUCAACAACAAGGUUAUCAAUAUUUGAUCUAAGAGCAUUAAGAGUGAAAUUGUGAAAUGGAAAGAAGUGAAAUUCCAGGAUUAUUAAUAGGAAUAGAUGACAGUAGUGGGUAUGCAUGCAGACACUAUCUACUUACCCCAGUAUUACACCCAGGUAAUGAUCAAGAAAAUAAGAUUUUUACCAUAGUACUCAUGUGAGAACAAGAAAUGUAGAAAAGCUAUUUGGAACCUGGAAAAGAGUUUCCUUGUCUUCAACAAGGUCUACAAACCAAAUUAUAUACAUGUCUUGCAAUAAUAUGUGCUACAGCAGUACCUUACAAUCUAGGUAAAUAAUGAUCUGGUGGUAAAUAGACAUGUUAAUGAUGUGGAACAAUUUCUAAAUUUUUGGUGACAUUUUUUUCAACAAUAUUUUGCAUGAGAAUACAUUAUUGAAUACCUACUCUUAUUGUGUUUGAUUUUUUUGUCUAUUAUUUCUCAAAAUAUCAUGAUCAUUGUUCGACAGCCCUUUUUGUUUGAGUUUUGGUCUCUUGAGGAAUACAGCUCCAUUCCAAUCUAUUUCAGGAUUUGUUCUUGCAAUUUUUUAUUUUUAAAAUAUCAAUGUCUUAUUCUGUUUGUUCCUUAUAUCUAAUCUAUAGUCUUUCUCUCGUUAUAUGUCCAGCUGACAUUUGUGUGUUUAUUUUGGAAAGUAUUUCAUAUGCUUCCAUCCUUCCUCUUAGAACGUGGUCCUAUUUUGAUGAAUGCAUAUGGAUCGUGGUAUGCCCUGUAUAGUUCAAAAUUAUAUUUCAUAUGCUUCUAUCCUUCCUCUUAGAACGUGGUCCUAUUUUGAUGAAUGUAUAUGGAUCGUGGUAUGCCCUGUAUAGUUCAAAAUUAUAUUUCAUAUGCUUCCAUCUUUCCUCUUAGAACGUGGUCCUAUUUUGAUGAAUGUAUAUGAAUCGUGGUAUGCCCUGUAUAGUUCAAAAUUAUAUCUUCUCUGGUCUUCAUAUUUUAGAUGCUAUUUAGCCUGAUUCUAGUGCUUUAUCGUUGUUUCCAGUGCUUUAUCAAUUUAUCAUCAUUUAUUUUACCUACCUGUCUACUGCUACUCUACUAUUGUACUUUCACCAUAUAUUUUUGGAAUAUAAAUAUACCUUCUGUCUUUCUCUUGUUCAACUGGAAUUUGUUUAUUUAUUCUGAGAAUACAUUAUUGAAUCUGUAUUAUGUUAGAUAUAUUAUUUUUUAUUUUAUUUCUUAAUAUGUAUUUUUUAUAUUUUAUUUUAAAAUAAAUGAGUAUGAGUUUCCCUCUUCUUAAAUAA
rnacentral:lncRNA from 1 species